rnacentral:piRNA from 1 species
UAAUGAUGGAUUAAAUAUAUUGAGGAC